UACGAAGGGGGCUAGCGUUGCUCGGAAUUACUGGGCGUAAAGCGCACGUAGGCGGCUUUCUAAGUCGGGGGUGAAAUCCUGGAGCUCAACUCCAGAACUGCCUUCGAUACUGGAAAACUCGAGUCCGGGAGAGGUGAGUGGAACUGCGAGUGUAGAGGUGAAAUUCGUAGAUAUUCGCAAGAACACCAGUGGCGAAGGCGGCUCACUGGCCCGGUAUUGACGCUGAGGUGCGAAAGCGUGGGGAGCAAACAGG
rnacentral:rRNA from 1 species